UUCUGAUUGGUUCCUUGCCACAUGGAGGGUGUCUGACUUCCUAGUGACCAGGAGGUUGGGCAAGAUCAGGAAGCUCAGACACAUUUUGCUGUGUCAGAGGACUACAUCUUGCUUGGUCUGUCAUGGCUACCAAAGCAGGGUACUGGGCAUGAUAAUGGCUUGACCAUGGCCAGUUGUAACCUCACAGAAAUGCUGUUUUUAUAACUGAGGCACCUAUCAAUCUCACUAUGUAGCUCUGGUUGUCUUUGAGCUUUCUGGAUAGCCCAAGCUAACUCUGAGCUCAUGAUUCUUCUGCUUCAGGCCUUCUUCCUGUGUGGGAGGCAUUUUCUGCCUAGGAAACCAGCUGUGGUGAUUUGAAGGAGAAUGGUCCCCGUAGGCUAAUAUCUGAGUCUUUGGUACCCAGUUAGCAGAACUGUUUGACAAAGAUUAGGAGGUAUGGCCUCACUGAAGGAGACGUGACAUUGUUAGAAGAAAUGUGCACUGGGGCUGGGCUUUGAAGUUUCAAAAGCCCAUGCCAUGCUCUUUCUCUCUCUCUCU
rnacentral:lncRNA from 1 species